GGCACCGAGCGGGCGGGACCGGGCGGGCGACGCGGCCAUGGAGGCGCCCUCCGUGCCCUCGGUACCCUCGGUACCCUCGGUUGCGGGCCGCGGGCCCAUCAAAGGCAUCCUGAAGAAGAGCGGCAGCAAGACAACGUCGGCGGGAGCGGCCCUCGGGGCGCGGCGGGCCAAUCCGGCCUGCGACGAGGACGAGCACGGUAAAAAGUCCCAGAAGUGGGACGAAAUGAACAUCAUAGCUACAUACCACCCUGCAGGCAAAGAUUAUGGCUUGAUGAAAAUAGAUGAACCAAGUACUCCUUAUCACAGCAUGGUAGGAGAAGAUGAUGAGGAUCCAGUGAGUGAUUCAGAAGCAAAUGAGCCCUUAAAAGCAGAUGUGCUGAGUAAAAAACUGGCAGCUGCAGCUGAAGGUAAAGGACCCAAGAUCAUAGCAAGGCAAGAGGAAAGCAGUGAGGAGGAGGAAGAGGAUGAAGAAUUAACACCUGAGGAACGAGAGAAAAAGAAACAGUUUGAAAUGAAGAGAAAAAUGCACUACAAUGAAGGAAGAAACAUCAAACUGGCAAGACAGCUCAUUGCAAAAGAACUACAUGGUGAGGAAGAGGAUGAUGAUGAAGAUGAAGAGAUGUCUGAUGUGGAAACAAUGAGUACAGAAGCUACUGUACAUGGGGAAAGGAGGGCUCCAAUAGGCAACCGUAUGACCUUUCUCCAUGGCUUGAAGCUGCCAUCUCUCUGCACUCUGCUGUAAAACAGAGGCAACUCCGCUCCCCAGCUGCAUUCGCCACUGGAAAGAAGGCACACCUUUGCAGCAUUUUUCCAUCUCUAUUGUUGAAGUCCAUUCCACCUUCCUCAUAACCAGCUUCAGAGCCACAACUGACUGAGAUUUCUUGCCGAUCGAAAUGAAGAUGGCCAGUCCAGUCAGUGAUGCACAUGUUACUCGUGACCAGCUGGAAAGUAGAGCACACAGCAUAGAAGAAAUCUGUCCAGAACUGUAACUGCUUGUCAAAGACACACAUAUAAACAUCGCUUCAUGUUUUUUGCAAUUAAGGCUCUUAAAUGUUGAGAAGCAUAUCAGUUACAAUGUUGUAUUGCCAAGAAUGUUAAUUUUAGACUUGUCCAUUAGGCAGAAAACACUGUCUAAUUGAUUUAUUCUUGUGCCUAGUAUUUCAUGAAGAAUACUGCUUCAUAAUCUGUUCAACCAGAAUGGCAUUCCCUGUAUGUAUAAUGCUGAUUAUCUUGCGUGAUGUACUGUUACUCUUGCUUUGAAACACUCACUAUCUUUUGGUUUUUCACUAUUUAUUUGAGAGUGUUCUAGAUGUGGUGUCUCUUAUCGAAAGGUUUGGGAUUCAAGAGCCAAACGGUACAGCAUAAUAUCAGAUUGACAUGUGAGCUAUUUAUCAGAUGUGUUAAGCAAUUUAAAAAGGGAUUAUUUAAGUCCUACAACCUUUUUGUAAAGUGUUGACCUGUUAAUCUAGAUUUCAGUAUAUUACUACCUGCACUUUCCCAGUCUUUAGAACAAGAGCUGUGUUAUUUCUUAAGAGCGGUGUUUGGAAUCGGUUGUUAGUUUCUGACUAAAGCAGUACUAACAUCUGGUGGAGGGAAUGUUUUGACACUGGAAAUGGCUGACUUGAUCUUUGCAUUUCACUGUCAUUAUCUCUUCCAUCGGGACUGGCUGUUUUGUGGAGCUCUCUUUGGCUUAUUGUGAGAACGUGGAAGUUUCCUCCAGCUUUUCUCUUAAAACCACAUCCACUGUCACUCUUCUGGCGCAUUUCAGACGUUUGGUUCUUUCCAGUUGCAUGAACAGUGCUUGUGCUACUAGCACCUGAGGAAAAACACCCAGCCACAAGGAAAUCCACAUCAGGACUGUGAAGAUGUGCUGAGCUUAGGCUCUGGCUGUUCUUUUUUAAAGAUAACUGCUGUUGAUCUACUCAUUUGGGGUUGGCAACCCCCUGAAAACCACUGGUCUGUAUCUUCCUAUGUCCAUUGCAACUUACAGCAACUGCUUUUAUAAAUGAAGGCUUUUUGGAAGACUAGAAGGGAAACUGCCUAAUUCAAAUACUUUGUUUACAGUGUGGUUAUAUAGCCCCCAUAAAGAGGGAUUCUGCACCUCCAAAUUAUUGUAAGCAACUUCCCACUGGGUGAAAUUUGACUGGUGAAUGUUCCGGUAUUCAAAGUAGUUCCUGGGGUUUAUUACACCAACAAAGUAAUACACUUAAGCUUUAGCUUGGUUAUGGAAUACAGUGUAUAUCUUAAUUUUGAUCUGAAUUUGAUAUGUUGCAAAAAUCCAUAUAAUUAUAUGGAUCUAUUUUAAAAUGUCUUUUUCUCCACUGUAUAUGUGAAGUUUGAAUAAAGGAAUGAAAGUUAUUUUACAGUUA